rnacentral:rRNA from 1 species
CAUGGCUCAGGACGAACGCUGGCGGCGUGCCUAAUACAUGCAAGUCGAACGAACCGCGACUAGGUGCUUGCACUUGGUCAAGGUGAGUGGCGAACGGGUGAGUAACACGUGGGUAACCUACCUCAUAGUGGGGGAUAACAGUCGGAAACGACUGCUAAUACCGCAUAGGACAUGGGAUCACAUGAUUCUGUGAGGAAAGGUGGCGCAAGCUAUCGCUAAGAGAUGGACCCGCGGUGCAUUAGCUAGUUGGUAGGGUAACGGCCUACCAAGGCGAUGAUGCAUAGCCGACCUGAGAGGGUGAUCGGCCACAUUGGGACUGAGACACGGCCCAAACUCCUACGG